CAUGUCCUUUAGUUUUUAUUUAAGGUUUAACCUGCUCAAUGAAUUUUAAAUAGCCGCAGUAUAUUGACUGUGCAAAGGUAGCAUAAUAAUUAGUCUUUUAAUUGAGGUUUGGAAUGAAUGGUUGAACGAGGAAACUACUUUAUUUUUAAGAAUUUUAUUUAAUUUAUAUUUUUGGUUAAAAUACCAAGAUUUUUAAAAGGGACGAUAAGACCCUAUAGAUCUUCAUAAAAUCUUAUUUUUUUCCUUUUUUUGUUGUUUUUUUGGAUUUAUUAAUAUUUUAUUUGGUUGGGGUGAUAAAUAAAAUUUUUAACUUUAUUUUUUUUUUACAAUUAUUUUUGUUUUUUUGAUCCUUAAAUUUAGAUUAUAAGAAUAAGAUACCUUAGGGAUAACAGCAUUAUACAUCUGGAGAGUUCUUAUUGAUAGAUGUGUUUGUGACCUCGAUGUUGGAUUAAAAUUUAUUUGUGGGGUAGUUUUA
rnacentral:rRNA from 1 species